GUCCACAGUACACGGAUGCCCCACUCACACUAUCAUUUUCUAUGUUUAAAGGACUGUGAUUGGAAUAAAUUCUCUAAUUUGGCAUUAAAAUUAGAAUGAUCUUAUCAAAGGGAACAUGUAACUAAGUUUCAAGUUGAUUGGACUUCUACUUUAUCAAAAACUACGUUGACCAAAAACUUUAACCUGAAAUUUGCACUAUCAUUUUCUAUGUUCAGUGAACCGUAAAAUUGGGGUCAAAACUCUAAUUUGGCAUUUUAA
rnacentral:lncRNA from 1 species